rnacentral:rRNA from 1 species
UACGGAGGGUGCAAGCGUUACUCGGAAUCACUGGGCGUAAAGAGCGCGUAGGCUGUUUCGUAAGUCGUGUGUGAAAGGCGCGGGCUCAACCCGCGGACGGCACAUGAUACUGCGAGACUAGAGUAAUGGAGGGGGAACCGGAAUUCUCGGUGUAGCAGUGAAAUGCGUAGAUAUCGAGAGGAACACUCGUGGCGAAGGCGGGUUCCUGGACAUUAACUGACGCUGAGGCACGAAGGCCAGGGGAGCGAAAGGG